ensembl:misc_RNA Metazoa_SRP Metazoan signal recognition particle RNA
GCCGGGCGUGGUGGUGCGUGCCUGUAAUCUCAGCUACUCGGGAGGCUGAGGCAGGAGAAUCGCUUGAGCCUGGGAGGUGCAGGUUUGCGGUGAGUCAAGAUUGCGCCACUGCAUUCCAGUCUGGGCAACAGAGUGAGACCCUGUCUCAA